AACAGAAUCUAAUGAGUUCAUGGUUCUUUGGCUUUGAUCUUGGCUGUGGCCCUGCCUGCCUGUGAGCGAGUGACUGACUGACUGACUGAUUUCAAGAAGUUAACUUAGUUGGUGAGUCAAUAGUAGUAGUAGUAGUAACAGUAGUAACAGCGGCAGAAGCAGCACCGGCAUGGCAGCAGCAGUAGUAAUAAUCAUUGUUACAGACACUUAGACAGACAGGCAGAGACGUGCAGACAUGCCUCCAUACACCCAGACAGGCAGAGGGGGAGAAAAAAAACGGACCCAAGGACACCUACAGGAUCUGGCCGCAGUCGACUGGUUCCGGGCCAGUUCCAGGCUUCGGGUCGAAUAGGAAAGUUUAAAAAAGGGAAGAAAACCUUUCUACCAGGGAAUUUCAAAGUGCAGCUGAGGGACAGAGAUGAAAAUGAUGUAAUUCUCCUGUCUUCAUCGACCCGUGCCUCCAGCGCAUACUGGGAUUGUUUACAGCUACGAGUGAUGCAGCUGGGAUGGAGGGCUCUUGGAUGCUCCCUUUUGAGGUAGCGGUCAGAGGUCAGGACAUACCACAUACCUGUCACCAGAGUCUCUUCAGGCCAAACCCACAGGCAGCUGAGGGGAAAGGUCAAAGGUCAUCUAUUGUCACACUAUCCUGAUGGAGAGGAGAGGUUGAAUGUCUGCUCCUGAGUUCAAUUGAGAAUUAGUUGUAAAUUGAGUGCAGCGUCUGGGUUAAGGACAGGAAAUGAAUGCUGUCAGUAAUCCACAGUGCAUGUAUAUCUCCUCACAGCAGAGGUAGUACACUAAAGUUUACCACAGGGAAGCCGCAUCACUAUCAUUUAAUUCAAAUAAAGGAAAC